GGAACAUUAGGAGUUGAUGAUCAGAAGGAAAAGUCUGCAUUUAUAGAAAGCAUAACUGUGAUGUACAGCCGUAAAAUUGAACUUAAAGUAAAAUGUUUCAAUUUGACACUCACAUACUGACACGGUAAUUGGCAUAUCUGAGGAAAUAUUUUCUUAGACAAUUAUGACACCAUACAGGAAACAUGAGUGAAAAUAAGCUUUUUAAACUCACAAUCUGACAGAAUUACAUUGAAUUGAUGGGAGUAUCAGCUUUGGUAGAGAGGGAAGUAUUCUGAAUCAGAAGGUUACAGUCCAGUGCCAGACAAAACUGUUGGAGGUGCUAGGUAAAACAUUAAAUCAAGGCCCCUGCCCUUUCAGGUGAACAUUAAAGAUCAAUUGACUUUAUUCUGGAGAACAGAGAAGUUAUACCAGUGUCUUGGUCAAUGUUUAAUGCAUAGUCAAUAUUAAUGAGACUGUUUAGGCCAGAAGUUCAUUUGUAAGGAGCUGAAGAGUUUUUCCAGCACUCUGAAAAUUACGUUUCUGGAGGGGGAUGUAAAAGCAAUCACUUAUGUGGGCAAAAAGAAUAUUGCAGCGAGUAAUACAGUUGUCUCUUCAUUCUGGAAAAUAAUAGCGCCUCUAGACGUGUGGCGUGACAUCAGGUUUGGUGGGUGCCUUGUCAAAGACAACAUUCUCGGUUGCCGAUGUCAUGUUGCUGUUAGAGGCACGACUGUCUCUGAGAGGUUCAUGGCCUCGUUUUGCUCUUUGGAGGAAUGCAGGUCUCAUGGGAAGAGCAGACCUCCUCCUAAAACAACUGCUGGUCCAGAAGCAAAAUAUACCGCUGGAAGAACUCGGCGGUUCAAGCAACAUCUGUGUAGGCAAACAGAGUGUUGGCAUUUCUGAUUGUGAUCCAGCACCAAAGACUGAGAAUGUACAGGGAAUAAAGCCAGUGCAUAGAAGGGAGGAGUUGUCGAGAUAGAGACUAGUGGGUAGUAGGUGGGACCAGAAGAUGAGUGGAUGAAGGAUCAGACUUAGGUAGGGAAGGGGUAGUGUUCAGAUAGAGGCUGAUACAUGUAAAUACUAAGUUCAAUUAGAUAAGGAAGGAAUAUGGACAAAUGGAACCAAGUGGGGGAGGGUAACAAGACUAGAUUAUGAGGGAAAAUGUGAACAAAGGGAGAAAAAAACCUAACUAGAUUGGUGGGAGUGGGAAAGGAACACAAGGGUUAUAGAUGAUCUAAAAAUUGAAAAAAUUAUUACUCAUACCAUUGGUUUAUAGGCUACUUGAGUGGAAUAUAAGGCGUUGCUCUACUAGUUAAAAUUUGGCUGUACUUUAGCAGUGUGGAAGGCAGAGAACAGACAAGUCAACGUGGGAUUGGGCAGGGGACUUGAAAUAACAAAAAACUGUUGGAUGAGGGUAUAGAAUUGUUACUUUUCUAGUAUUUUCCUUGUAGUUUAACUUUCCUAUGCUUGAUUGUAUUUUAAUAUAAUUACCUAUAUACAUGUAAUUGUUGCAGUAAUUACCAUACAGUUGCUUUUGUAUUUUUCUAGAGACAUCUUAGCUUUCAGAAACAAAUGUCAUACUCCUUGAAUCUGGUGGUUUUGUGGGUUAAUUGUAAUCAAUCGAACUUUGUUAUCUUUAGCCUGUGUAUGAGGCCACCACAACUACUUUUUCUUUGUCUUUCCUCUUUUUGUUUGUUUUCUGCUCUUGUAAGACAUAAUAAAACAA